GAUGAACGCUGGCGGCGUGCCUAAUACAUGCAAGUCGAGCGAAUGGAUUGAAAGCUUGCUCUUAUGAAGUUAGCGGCGGACGGGUGAGUAACACGUGGGUAACCUGCCCAUAAGACUGGGAUAACUCUGGGAAACCGGGGCUAAUACCGGAUAACAUUUUGAACCGCAUGGUUCGAAAUUGAAAGGCGGCUUCGGCUGUCACUUAUGGACGGACCCGCGUCGCAUUAGCUAGUUGGUGAGGUAACGGCUCACCAAGGCAACGAUGCGUAGCCGACCUGAGAGGGUGAUCGGCCACACUGGGACUGAGACACGGCCCAGACUCCUACGGGAGGCAGCAGUAGGGAAUCUUCCGCAAUGGACGAAAGUCUGACGGAGCAACGCCGCGUGAGUGAUGAAGGCUUUCGAGUCGUAAAACUCUGUUGUUAGGGAAGAACAAGUGCUAGUUGAAUAAGCUGGCACCUUGACGGUACCUAACCAGAAAGCCACGGCUAACUACGUGCCAGCCGCCGCCGUAA
rnacentral:rRNA from 1 species